GAUCAUUUACAGUACUAAAUCUAAAUUAAUUGUUCUGUCUUUAAUUAAUACAAAGCUAGUUAAGAACUAAAAAACAUUUCCAUUGUGAUUAUUAAAAGCUGUAGAAGACAGAAACCAGCAGGCUGUUUUGAAUGGACCAGCAUAACAAUAUGCAAAUGCAUAUGCAAACCUUCCCCACUUACAGCUACAUAUAGAGAAAUAUCAGCCUCGGUCACUGUGGGCUCUGGAGAAUUUAGCACUGCUUUUAGUUAAACGAUGUUCCUUCCAUUUUUGCUGCUGCUGGCAGCUUCAUCCUAUGUGGAACGUGCAGUAGAACUCACUCAGGUCACCUCAGUGAUGUUAAAGCCAGGAGACUCUUUAACCCUCAGCUGUAAAGUAUCCGGCUACUCUGUAACUGAUAACAGCUACGCCACAGCUUGGAUUCGACAACCUGCAGGGAAAACUCUGGAGUGGAUAAACCACAUUUGGGGUGGUGGAAGUAUUUAUAAUAAAGAGUCUCUAAAAAGCAAGUUCAGUAUUUCUAAAGACGGCUCCAGCAGCACGGUGACUCUGAGAGGACAGAAUCUGCAGACAGAAGACACAGCUGUGUAUUACUGCGCCUGUAUACACACACUGAUGCUUCUACUUAGCUGUCAAUACAAAAACACAUGCAUGCUGUAGUCACAAACUGACCUCAUAGUUUCAUCACCAGUGUAUUAGAACUAAGGAAACAUUGAGACUAAUACUGAACUCUGUGACUUUCCUCUACAUUUAAAAUCUGUUUAUGUGGAAUGUCUACAAUACAAGUCUUGUGUAAGUUGUUAAUUAACACAUUCUGUCUAAUCAGAUUCGAGAAUUCAACAGUACUGUGGUGUAAGUGU